rnacentral:rRNA from 1 species
AUUGAACGCUGGCGGCAGGCCUAACACAUGCAAGUCGAACGAGCGGCGGACGGGUGAGUAAUGUCUGGGAAACUGCCUGAUGGAGGGGGAUAACUACUGGAAACGGUAGCUAAUACCGCAUACCAUCGGAUGUGCCCAGAUGGGAUUAGCUAGGAGGUGGGGUAAAGGCUCACCUAUGCGACGAUCCCUACCUGGUCUGAGAGGUGGACCAGCCACACGGGGACUGAGACACGGCCCAGACUCCUACGGGAGGCAGCAGUGGGGAAUAUUGCACAAUGGGCGCAAGCCUGAUGCAGCCAGGCCGGGUGUAUGAAGAAGGCCUUCGGGUUGUAAAGUACUUUCAGCGGGGAGGCGUUACCCGCAGAAGAAGCACCGGCUAACUCCGUGCCAGCAGCCGCGGUAAUAC